CCGCGCCGGAGCCGCCGCCGGGAGCGGGAGCGCGGGAGGGCGGGAUGACGUCACAGCCGCUCUGCGCGGCGUUGCAGAGCCCCGACCCGACGUCAUAGGCCGCGGGUCGUGACGUCACCGAUGGCGGAGGAGAGGGGCGCGGCCGAGGCGCGCCGCCACUUCCGGGGGCGCGGUUCAUCAUGGAGGCCGGGCUGCGGCUGGGGCUGGGCUCGGCCGCGCUCAGCACCGCCCUCGGC
rnacentral:lncRNA from 1 species